UUGCAUAUCCAAUCCCUCUUUUUAGGAUGUAAUAGUUAUUACUUACUGUUUUUUUUUUUAUUAUUAUUAUAAUAAUAAUCCAGGGGCAAAUAUUAUUAAAUAUUAAAAAGACUGGAUUGAGUAAUUUCUAUUUAAAUUUUUUAAUUUUUAAAUUUAUUAGAAAUUCGUUUAC
rnacentral:rRNA from 1 species